rnacentral:lncRNA from 1 species
ACUCAACAAUUUUCCCCUCCAACUCACUAGAAGGUAGUCCGAUAUCUUCAAGUUAUUCAUCCUGACAACUUCUAGUCUGACUCCCCCAUAAGAUCUGCAAGACAAUAUAUGAGAUAACUUUCCCUCAUCAACGAGCUACUCCACUUCCUACCGAAGUGUAUGCAUCUCCACACUGAAGCAUGCGCCUUCUCACCAAGGUACCUCAUACCCCCCACUGGGGUAUGCUGCAAAAUACAUUACUUUGCAAACUGUAGUGGCUCCAUCUCUCGUCCUUUAUGCACACAUUUGGAGAGAUCAUCACAACUAAUCAAAUCAAGAGCGAAAGAGACUCGUUUAGGCGUUGUUUCCCCCGUCGCUGUACAACUCCUUAAAAUCAACUUUGUCUCCUUCCUCUGAACUUUUCUCAGAAUAUCCUGCACUAGUUGCACCACUUGUGUCUGGCUAAAUUUUUGCACACAUCUCAAAGUAUCUCCUUGCGCUCCUAUACCACUCUGGAUCCUCCAUGUACCUACGCUUGCCUUUGUGCAACUGUUAUUUUUUUGUGUCCAUUCUACUUGCUAGUAUUACUAGACCCAUAUUUGAUAGUAGAUCAUUUUGUCUAAACACUACCUUCCAAUUGGUAUAGUCCUCCAGUCUUCUUUCCUUGCCGCAACUCCUUCUUUCCCUUAGAAACUCUCAGAUUUUGUCCACUAGUUUCAAAACUACAUCCCUUUGAAUCUAGCAUCCCAAUGGAAAUUAAAUUUUUUCGUAGAUUAUGAACAUGCCUUACCUCGGUCAAUGUCAGAGACCUCCCGUUUGCCAUGCGAAACCAAACUGAUCCUUUACCAAAAACAUUAUUCAUUAUCUUGUUCGCCAUCCAUACAAGUCCAUCAUUGCAUGGUGCAUAUGUAGAGAACAUUUCUCUAUAUCUGCACAAGUGGUAAGCGCUUCUUGAAUCCAAUAUCCAAUCUAACUUUCCAUCCGCCGAUAAUGCUAGGAGAAUAUCGCUCUGAAUCCUCCAGUCAUCACUGUUGCUAAUGUUGUCUCUGAAGACUGAUUCUGUUCUUUAUAUCUUGGACAACUCCUCUUGAUAUGUCCCUCCUAGUCGCAAUAAAAGCACAUAAAAGUGCGACUUCUUAAUUGUGACCUCGGUCAUCCUCUACCGAUGCCCCUUUGAUGACCUCUUCCCUGACCUCGACCUCUUUCCCUGCUUCCUUCUGAGACUAGGGCUUGCGACUCAUCACUAUUCGUUGUACCUAUCUCUCUCUUCCUUGCCUCUUUAUUGAAUAAGGCAUCUUUGACCGUACUCAUGGUUAACUUUCCAUUCGACGUUGAAUUGCUGAGAGAAAUCACAAAUGUCUCCUAACUUUUUGGCAAGGAAUUCAAAAUCAAUAGGGCCUGCGUCUCAUCCUCGUAUUGUAGGUCAACACUAGUCAACUAAUUGAUCAAAUUCUGGAGCUCACUCAUAUGUUCCGCCACUAAAGUACCACUAUGUAACUUCAGAUUCACUAGCCUCCUCAUCAAGAGCGCUUUGUUCCGUGACGUCUUAGCCUGGUUCAUCGUCUCCAACUUGGUCCAUAACUUAUAAGCACUCGUAUCCUGUGCCAUAUGAUGGAACGUCUCGUGCCCAAUCCAUUGUCUGCUUUGCCCUAAUUAUUUUUUGGUUCAAGCUUCUUUCAUUCCCAUCAUUCAUCUCUUAGUUUAUUCUCUUAUCUCCAUGUCAUACAAAUCCUUAUAGAAUAGAUAUCUUCAUUCAUAUUGAGGGCGUAAUACAUACUUCAUGGCUGAAAGCAAGGAUUAGAUCCCCUAAUUGUUCUUGUGUGGGCCAUCUUAAUUCAACUCCAAUAGAUGCAAAAAAAUCCUUCCUAAAAUUAACCCCAGGGAAUGGAUUGGAUGCUAACAAAUUUUAGAAAGUGCUAAACUGUCAAAAUUAAAAUUUUUUGGUACCAAAUAUCAAAAAUCCAAACUACCGAGACCAACUAUAAUUUUACUAAACUAGAGACCAACUAAUUUUCAACUCAGGAACUAAAUUAUAAUUUUUGGAAACUACACGGACAAAAAUAUAAUUUUUUGAAACUUUAGGGACUAAAAGUGCAAUUAUCCAACCUUAGGAAUAUUCCCAGAAUAUUCCCUCUCAGCUCAGCUCGAUCAACGUCUUGCGGCUUGGUCAACGGCUCGCGUUGGGUCAAAGCUCAAUCAAUCUGCGUGGCUUGGUUGCGCUUGUUGGUGCGUGUGGUGCGUGAGAAUGAUGGCUCACCAAACUUCAGACGGCGUGUGGGGACUGGUUUGAUGUCCGAUCGACUUAGACUUUAUACCGACGGACUCGUCUCGAAGAGGGGAAUCCUGUGGUAUGCUCAAAAUUCAAUUCCGAGCAACUUUGGAUAUAGACUAUGGGGGGGGGGAAAAUCUGCUCCGUUCUUGGCAGAAAUUACUCCGGUGACUCGACCUCGCUCUGGUACCACUGUUGUGUAAAAAUGGACUCAACAUAAGAUAGGGGUCAUCAAAACACCAAACCGUCCGAUGGAAAGACGGUUUUCAAUGCUACAUAGCCAGCUAAAAAGUCUCCAUGGGCUUUUACUUUUGCUGUAAUAACAUUGUGAAGGUGAAUUUUGGUAAAUUCAUACGUCCUCCGUGUUUACUUCGCUUCCUAGUAUUAUCAUCAUCAUUGUCCAAUGUUCGCUGGCCUCAUUGUUGUAUUGAAAUAUUCAUACGGGGAACAUAAAAUAUGGCAAUUGAAGAUCUGCGAAUGAAACCAUUCCAAAAUUGCAAAAUGUACGCACACCCCCCCCCCCAAAAUACUAGCUUAAGGCGGACUACACCAGGCAUUAGGCAACAUUUCACUUCGUGUGCCAAACAAGAGCUACACCGUAAAUCUGAAAUCAAGUACCAAUGACUUGUGGUGGGAAGUGAAGAGGCUGAAUCUGACUUUUUAUAUUUGGAAAGUAGAAGAAACUCUAUGCACCCAUUUUGUCCCCAGCCACAGCAUGUACAUUUAUGUUACAAACGCAAGGAUGGAUGAUACGGUAAAGAUGCAUAACAGAUUCGUUGUCACAUUUGAAGAAUUAAAAUUGAAAAAUAAGUAGAACAAUAAUUCCCAAGCAUCGAACAAAAGAGACAUAAUUUUCGAAGAAACAGAGAAGCUUGUUUUCAAUGAAACGUUGCCUAACCCAACAAACAGAUUCAGCUUCAGAUUGGGGACAGAGGACCUAAGUGUUAUAUAGCUCUUUCCAUAUCACAUACUUAUGCCAAAGGCUUUAAGUGGCCGAAUUGAAUGUUGAAACCACACAUAAAUCAGUAUAUUUAACAUAAUACCCAAUACUUUAAUCUGCUUUCGACUAUGACAGCUCAAAUUAAAUGCAAAGAGUAUUCAACAGGUUGAAAAGCCCACAUGAAUGAUACAGAAUAUAUUGCACUAAUUGUGAAUCUGCAAACGGUGCAAUUAAAUUAGAUAGCAGAAAUAGAAAUCAUCCGGGAAUAGGAAUCUCGUUAAGUCAUCCUCAUAAGGUUUGCAAAGAAAUAAAGGAACAUAAAUAACUGAAAAUUUCCACUUUUGUCUGGGCUAGCACGCACCAACAUGUCCGCACACUUGCUUUCUCUCUGUAGACAUGUUUAAUUGUAUCUAUUCGCAAUCUUGAAUUAGGUUGUUAAGCUGGAUAAUUGCCCGUGCGUCCGCCUCCACUUCAAUGGGGAUCAAAAGCAUAGAGUCAUAGACCAUGCCAUGAUCCAUGAUGAGACCCUCUCUGAGGGCUGUAAGCUCAGUUUCCAUACUACUGACUUGGCCAAUUGUUCGAUGAAAUCCUGUGACACAAGUUCCAUUGUGAACGCGGAUAAUGCUACCACCGGACUCUAUUGGGGGUUUGACUUUACUGUACCAUCCGUGUUAAGUUUAAAAAAGUUAAGUUAGGGGGGAAUUUCCAUGAUUUUUGUUAUGCGCAGAACCAAAACAAAAACCACACACUCAUACAAAGAGACACAUAUAUUUAUGUGAUUCGACAAUUUGCUUACAUCCUCGGAUUGUAGCAAUUUCAGUAUUAGAGAAAGAAAAAUAUAGAUUUACGGUUUCUCUCUAUCUCAAGCUCUCUGAUCUCUCUCUUUUCUCUCACUCUUCCCUUGGUGGUCUGGUGGUGGCAAAGCAACCGCCACCUCCCUCAUACUCUCUCUACCUUUGAUCUACAUCUUUUUUUUCCCCACACAUUAUACACAACCAUUGAAGCUGUAUAUAUAGGCCUAGAACUACACACUUUUUGAGAAAAAUAACUCAGAAAGUUAAAGCCAUCAUUGGGAGUCCAACAAUUUUUGGGUACCUAACGGUUCUCUUUCACUUCACUUGUCCAUUCUUAUCAAAUCCUGCUAAACCAUGUCAUUCCCUAGCAUAAUCUUCCCAAAU